CCGGGCUGAGAGGGCGGACGGCCACAUUGGGACUGAGACACGGCCCAAACUCCUACGGGAGGCAGCAGUAGGGAAUUUUCGUCAAUGGGGGGAACCCUGAACGAGCAAUGCCGCGUGAGUGAGGGAAGGUCUUCGGAUCGUAAAGCUCUGUUGUAAGAGAAAAACGACAUUCAUAGGGAAUGAUGAGCGAGUGAUGGUAUCUUACCAGAAAGUCACGGCUAACUACGUGCCAGCAGCCGCGGUAAUACGUAGGUGGCGAGCGUUAUCCGGAAUGAUUGGGCGUAAAGGGUGCGUAGGUGGCAGAACAAGUCUGGAGUAAAAGGUAUGGGCUCAACCCGUACUGGCUCUGGAAACUGUUCAGCUAGAGAACAGAAGAGGACGGCGGAACUCCAUGUGUAGCGGUAAAAUGCGUAGAUAUAUGGAAGAACACCGGUGGCGAAGGCGGCCGUCUGGUCUGUUGCUGACACUGAAGCACGAAAGCGUGGGGAGCAAAUAGGAUUAGAUACCCUAGUAGUCCACGCCGUAAACGAUGAGAACUAGGUGUUGGGGGAAUAACUCAGUGCCGCAGUUAACGCAAUAAGUUCUCCGCCUGGGGAGUAUGCACGCAAGUGUGAAACUCA
rnacentral:rRNA from 1 species